AUUGAACGCUGGCGGCAGGCCUAACACAUGCAAGUCGAGCGGAUGAAGGGAGCUUGCUCCUGGAUUCAGCGGCGGACGGGUGAGUAAUGCCUAGGAAUCUGCCUGGUAGUGGGGGAUAACGUCCGGAAACGGGCGCUAAUACCGCAUACGUCCUGAGGGAGAAAGUGGGGGAUCUUCGGACCUCACGCUAUCAGAUGAGCCUAGGUCGGAUUAGCUAGUUGGUGGGGUAAAGGCCUACCAAGGCGACGAUCCGUAACUGGUCUGAGAGGAUGAUCAGUCACACUGGAACUGAGACACGGUCCAGACUCCUACGGGAGGAAGCAGUGGGGAAUAUUGGACAAUGGGCGAAAGCCUGAUACAGCAAUGCCGCGUGUGUGAAGAAGGUCUUCGGAUUGUAAAGCACUUUAAGUUGGGAGGAAGGGAAGUAAGUUAAUACCUUGCUGUUUUGACGUUACCAACAGAAUAAGCACCGGCUAACUUCGUG
rnacentral:rRNA from 1 species